AUUUAAAUAGCUUAAAAAAGAGUAUAAUAUUGAAGAUAUUAGGGUGAUUAUAUAAUCUUUAAAUA
rnacentral:tRNA from 1 species